rnacentral:rRNA from 1 species
AGGUCAAGAUACAAAGGGCGUACGGUGGAUGCCUUGGUACCAGGAGGCGAAGAAGGACGCGGCCAGCGGCGAAAUGCCACGGGGAGCUGCAAGCGAGCAUAGAUCCGUGGAUAUCCGAAUGGGGAAACCUAGCAGGGGCAAACCCCUGUUAUCCUUACCUGAAUAUAUAGGGUAAGAGAAGCCAGACCCGGCGAACUGAAACAUCUUAGUAGCCGGAGGAAAAGAAAUCACGAGAGAUUCCCGAAGUAGCGGCGAGCGAAACGGGAAGAGCCCAAACCAGCAAUGUGUAAGCAUGCAGGCGUUGCAUUGUUGGGGUUGUGGGGCGUACAGGAUUAAGCUGCACCUUAAUCAUAGAGUCAAAAACCAGUUGUUUAGGCGAAUGGAUCUGGAAAGAUCAGUCACAGAGAGUGAAAGCCUCGUAGCCGAAAAGCAGCUGGCUCUAAGUACUAACCCCGAGUACCGCCGGACACGUGGAACCCGGUGGGAAGCAGGGAGGACCACCUUCCAAGGCUAAAUACUACCUGGUAACCGAUAGCGAAUAGUACCGUGAGGGAAAGGUGAAAAGAACCCCGGGAGGGGAGUGAAAAAGAACCUGAAACCGUAUGCUUACAAACAGUAGGAGCACGAUUAAAACGUGUGACUGCGUACCUUUUGUAGAAUGGGCCAGCGAGUUAUGGUAGCAAGCAAGGUUAAGCUUAAACAAGAGCGGAGCCGAAGCGAAAGCGAGUCUGAAUAGGGCGAUAAGUUUGUUGCUGUAGACCCGAAACUGAGUGAUCUAUCCAUGACCAGGGUGAAGCGAUGGUAACACAUCGUGGAGGCCCGAACCAGGGUACGUUGAAAAGUGCUUGGAUGAGUUGUGGAUAGGGGUGAAAUGCCAAUCGAACUCAGAGAUAGCUGGUUCUCCCCGAAAUAGCUUUAGGGCUAGCGUUAUACAGUACCUUAUGGGGGUAGAGCACUGGUUUGGCUAGGGGCCUUACCCGGUUACCGAACCUUCCCAAACUCCGAAUACCAUAAGGGUUAAGUAUAGCAGUCAGACAGUGGGUAAUAAGGUCCAUUGUCGAGAGGGAAACAGCCCAGACCGCCAGCUAAGGUCCCAAAAUCUAUGCUAAGUGGGAAAGGAUGUAGGGUCGCACAGACAGCCAGGAUGUUGGCUUAGAAGCAGCCACCAUUUAAAGAGUGCGUAAUAGCUCACUGGUCAAGUGGCCCUGCGCCGAAGAUUCAACGGGGCUAAGCAUAGUACCGAAGCUGCGGAAUGUAUUAAAUACAUUGGUAGGGGAGCGUUCUUAACGGGUAGAAGCCGUACCGUAAGGAGCGGUGGACUGUUAAGAAGUGAGAAUGCUGGCAUAAGUAAGCGAGAAGGCGGGUGAGAAUCCCGCCCGCCGUAAACCUGAGGUUUCCUGGGGAAGGCUCGUCCGCCCAGGGUAAGCCGGGACCUAACCCGAGGCCAAAAGGCGUAGGGGAUGGACAACUGGUUGAAAUUCCAGUGCCACCAAUUAGCCGUUAUGAGCAAUGGGGUGACGCAGGAGGAUAGGUGAAGCGCACGAAUGGAAGAGUGCGUCCAAGCACGUAGGGGGUAGAGUAGGCAAAUCCGCUCUGCAUAACCUUGAGGUGUGAUGGGGAGGGAAUCAAGUACCGAAGUCAUUGACUCCAAACUGCCAAGAAAAGCCUCUAGCAAGGAUAAAGGUGCCCGUACCGCAAACCGACACAGGUAGGUGAGGAGAGAAUCCUAAGGCGCGCGAGAGAACCCUCGUUAAGGAACUCGGCAAAAUGACCCCGUAACUUCGGGAGAAGGGGUGCUCUAUUAACGUGAUUAUUAUUAACUAAUAUGAGCGUGAGAGAGCCGCAGUGAUCAGGCCCAGGCGACUGUUUACCAAAAACACAGGUCUCUGCUAAAUCGAAAGAUGAUGUAUAGAGGCUGACGCCUGCCCGGUGCUGGCGUAACUAUAACGGUCCUAAGGUAGCGAAAUUCCUUGUCUGGUAAGUUCAGACCCGCACGAAAGGCGUAACGAUCUGGGCGCUGUCUCGACGAGGGGCUCGGUGAAAUUGUAAUACCGGUGAAGAUGCCGGUUACCUGCGAUAGGACAGAAAGACCCCGUGGAGCUUUACUGCAGCUUGAUAUUGGAUUUUGGUAGUUCAUGUACAGGAUAGGUGGGAGACAGCGAAGGUAGGUCGCAAGGCUUGCUGGAGUCACCGGUGGGAUACCACUCUUGAACUACUGGAGUUCUAACCUAGAUCCGUUAUCCGGAUCAGGGACAGUGUCUGGCGGGCAGUUUGACUGGGGCGGUCGCCUCCGAAAGAGUAACAGAGGCGCCCAAAGGUUCCCUCAGCGCGGAUGGAAAUCGCGCGAAGAGUGUAAAGGCAUAAGGGAGCUUGACUGCGAGAGAGACAUCUCGAGCAGGGACGAAAGUCGGGCUUAGUGAUCCGGCGGUACCGAGUGGAAGGGCCGUCGCUCAUCGGAUAAAAGCUACCCCGGGGAUAACAGGCUUAUC